CCUACGGGGUGCAGCAGUGGGGAAUAUUGCACAAUGGGGGAAACCCUGAUGCAGCGACGCCGCGUGAGUGAAGAAGUAUUUCGGUAUGUAAAGCUCUAUCAGCAGGGAAUAGAAAAGAAGGUACCUGAAAAAGAAGCCCCGGCUAACUACGUGCCAGCAGCCGCGGUAAUACGUAGGGGGCAAGCAUUAUCCGGAUUUACUGGGUGUAAAGGGAGCGUAGACGGCGGUGCAAGCCAGAUGUGAAAGCCCGGGGCUCAACCCCGGGACUGCAUUUGGAACUGUGCUGCUAGAGUGUCGGAGAGGCAGGCGGAAUUCCUAGUGUAGCGGUGAAAUGCGUAGAUAUUAGGAGGAACACCAGUGGCGAAGGCGGCCUGCUGGACGAUGACUGACGUUGAGGCUCGAAAGCGUGGGGAGCAAACAGGAUUAGAUACCCUUGUAGUC
rnacentral:rRNA from 1 species